rnacentral:rRNA from 1 species
GACGAACGCUGGCGGCGUGCUUAACACAUGCCAGUCGAGCGGAAAGGCCCUGCUUUUGUGGGGUGCUCGAGUGGCGAGCGGGUGAGUAACACGUGAGUAACCUGCCCUUGACUUUGGGAUAACUUCAGGAAACUGGGGCUAAUACCGGAUAGGAGCUCCUGCUGCAUGGUGGGGGUUGGAAAGUUUCGGCGGUUGGGGAUGGACUCGCGGCUUAUCAGCUUGUUGGUGGGGUAGUGGCUUACCAAGGCUUUGACGGGUAGCCGGCCUGAGAGGGUGACCGGCCACAUUGGGACUGAGAUACGGCCCAGACUCCUACGGGAGGCAGCAGUGGGGAAUAUUGCACAAUGGGCGGAAGCCUGAUGCAGCAACGCCGCGUGCGGGAUGACGGCCUUCGGGUUGUAAACCGCUUUCGCCUGUGACGAAGCGUGAGUGACGGUAAUGGGUAAAGAAGCACCGGCUAACUACGUG